GCGGGCUGUGAAAUGUCUCUUUCAGUCUUCUUGGACAAUUGCAGAGAGGGUUUUUUACACAAUGGGCAACAGGGAACUUCCUCCAGCCAGCAGGCCGAAAACUGACCAACCUGUCCCGUAUUGCCAACCGUGACAGGGAACCUCUCCGACCAUAGGAAUCCCAGGAAGCUAAUUUUGAUAUUGCCCAUAAUUUCCUCCAGAAGGAUUUCUCCAAGCAGACAUCUCUCACGACUGACAGUGACGCCUCGUCUCUUCCACUCAGGAACAGCUUGAUUUGCUCUCGGACAUUCAGACUUGGUACGUCCACGGAACAUUCAAGACGCCAAUGAAAACACCAAGCAAGUUCCACUGCUAUUUGUCAUGAUGACACGCC